rnacentral:misc_RNA from 1 species
CCCCAGUCGGGCUGCUCCAUAUUUUGAGCAGGAAAUUCCUGCUGUGCCCUACCUCAGUUACAAAAGUGUCUAAACCUUUUAAAAAGGCUUCAUCUUAUUUAGCUUUGUAUCAUGCUCUCGUAAGAAGCAUAUUAGAGUACAACACUGUGAUCUGGUCGCCAAAUUACUCCGUUCAUGUUAACCGCAUAGAAAGAAUACAAAAGCGUUUUCUUAAAUCGGUCUGCUUUCGUCUCGACCUGCACCGCGAGCUCCACACUUACGAAGAAAGAAUGAAAAAGUUUCAAAUGAUAUCUCUAGCCUAUCGUCGUAAAUAUUUAGAUCUUAUGACACUUUACAAAAUAAUUAAUUACUUCAUUGACUCACCAUACUUGCUGUCUCAACUUAACAUUAACAUAAACUAUCGUAUUAGAAGGCCUAAGGUGUUCUCUCUUGACAUUUAUCGUAAUAACACCUCUUAUUAUAAUCCUUUAUCUCGUAUGUGUCG